rnacentral:rRNA from 1 species
GAUGACGCUGGCGGCGUGCCUAAUACAUGCAAGUCGAGCGAGUGGCGGACGGGUGAGUAAUGUCGGGGAAACUGCCUGAUGGGGGGGGAUAACUACUGGAAACGGUAGCUAAUACCGCAUACCAUAGGAGGUGCCCAGAUGGGAUUAGCUAGUAGGUGGGGUAACGGCGCAACUAGGCGACGAUCCCUAGCUGGUCUGAGAGGAUGACCAGCAAGACUGGAACUGAGACACGGUCCAGACUCCCACGGGAGGCAGCAUUGGGGAAGAUUGCAGAAGGGGCGCAAGCCUGAUGCAGCCAUGCCGCGUGUAUGAAGCAGGCCUUCGGGUUGUAAAGUACUUUCAGCGGGGAGGCGUUACCCGCAGAAGAAGCACCGGCUAACUUCGUGCCAGCCGCCGCGGUAAUAC